ensembl:snRNA U6 U6 spliceosomal RNA
GUGCUUAUUUUGGCAGCAUAGAUAUUAAAAUUGGAAUGAUACGGAGAAGAUUUAGCAUGACCCCCUACACAAGGAUGACGCACAAAUUCUUGAAGCAUUCCGGGUUUAA